rnacentral:rRNA from 1 species
GACGAACGCUGGCGGCGUGCUUAACACAUGCAAGUCGAACGGCAAGGCCCUGCUUUUGUGGGGUGCUCGAGUGGCGAACGGGUGCGUAACACGUGAGUAACCUGCCCUUGACUUUGGGAUAACUUCAGGAAACUGGGGCUAAUACCGGAUAGGAGCCCCCGCUGCAUGGUGGGGGUUGGAAAGUCUCGGCGGUUGGGGAUGGACUCGCGGCUUAUCAGCUUGUUGGUGGGGUAGUGGCUUACCAAGGCAUUGACGGGUAGCCGGCCUGAGAGGGUGACCGGCCACAUGGGGACUGAGAUACGGCCCAGACUCCUACGGGAGGCAGCAGUGGGGAAUAUGGCACAAUGGGCGGAAGCCUGAUGCAGCAACGCCGCGUGCGGGAUGACGGCCUUCGGGUUGUAAACCGCUUUCGCCUAUGACGAAGCGUGAGUGACGGUAAUGAGUAAAGAAGCACCGGCUAACUACGUG